UUUUGCCUUUACCAGUGAUUUUACUGCCUUUUUGGUUUUUUUUGUGAUAAUUUUGUUAUCCCUAUUUGCGGUCUUCUCUUUCCAACUUAAAUAAGUCCCUUCAGCAUUUCUUGUAGAACUGGUUUCUUGGUGAUAAACUCCUUUAAUUUUUGCUUGUCUGGGAAGCUCUUUCUCUCUCCUUCCAUUCUGAAUGAUAACCUUGAUGGAUAGAGUAUUCUUGGCUGUAGGUUUUUUCCUUUCAGCACUUUAAAUAAGUCGUGCCACUCUCUUCUAGCCUGUAGGGUUUGGGUUGUGAAGUCUGCUGAUAGCCUUAUGGACUUUCCUUUGUAUGUCGCUUGUUUCCUUUCUCUUGAUGCUUUUAGGAUUCUCUCUUUAUCUUUAAUUUUGGACAUUUUAAUAUUAAUGUGUCUUGGUUGGGCCUCUUGGUGUUCGUCUUGUUUGGUGCUCUCUGUGCUUCCUGUAUUUGGAUGUCUGUUUCCUCCCUUAGGUUAGGAAAGUUUUCAGCUAUUAUUUCUUCAUAUAGAUUCUCUGCCCCUUUGUCUCUCUCUUUUCCUUCUGGGACAUAUAUAAUACGAAUGUUAGCGUGCUUGAUAUUGUCCCAGAGUUCCCUUAGACUGUUCUUAUUCUAAUUCUUUUUUCUUUUAUCUGUUCAGCUUGGGUGAUUUCCUCUAGUUUUUCAUCCAGCUCACUGAUCUGUUCUUCUGUAUUAUCUACUGUGCUAUUGAGUCCCUCUAGUGAAUUUUUCAUUUCCAAUAUUGUAGUCUUCAUUUCUGAUUGGUUCUUUUUUAUAUUUUCCAAUUCUUUGUUGACGAUCUCACUGUGUUCAUCCAGUUUUCUCCUCUCAGUGGGCGUCCUUAUGAGUUUUUGUUUGAACUCUUUGUCAGGUAGAUUGCUUAUUUCUGUUUCAUUUAGUUGUUUUUCUGGGUUUUUGUCCUGUUCCCUUGCUUGGAACAUAUUCCUUUGCCUCCUCAUUAUGCCUCUUUCUCUGUGCUUAUAUCUAUGGAUUAGGUGAGUCAGCUAUGUCUCCUGAUCUUGGAGAAGUUGCCUUAUGUAAGAGAUACCUUUAGAGGCCCAGCAGUCUGCUUCCCUCUUGUCACCAGUCCUAAUGAUCCAGGAGUGACCCCUGUGUGGGCCAGUUUUGUCCUUCUGCUGUGGUAGGGUUGCUCUUACUGCAGGUACCCAGGGAAUCUAGUCUUUCCCUCUUUGGCCGGCUGUUUGUAAAUCAGGUUUGGGGAGCCCCAGUACCACUGCCUACAAGGUCUAGAAGCACACUCCUGUUGCAGUUUUCCUGUUAAUUGAGUAGGUACCCAGUGUAGCUGAUUUCUAGGCUCAGGGGCUUAUAGCUGCUGUAGGCCUCAGGCCUGCAGGGCUGUUGUCAGCUCUCAUAGGAUUGCAGCUGAGUAGGGCUGGCCCUAGGCACAGGAGCACCCAAUUGUUUCAGCCUUUGUAAGGUGGGGCUGAUCCUCUUUGUGUCUGUUUGUGAAGGAUGGUCUUCUGCCACUGAUAAGCCCCACCCCACACAGGUCCACUCACACCCUCAACACAACCCUGAUCCAUGAAUGCUUUCCGACCGCCUGGAGUGUACCCAGUCACCCCACUGCAGAGCCCCCCUCCUCCCACCAACAGCCCCCACAGUUUACCUGGUCUUCACACAGGCCCUGCCCCAUAGAGGCAGACACACUCACCUGCCUGUAGAGGAUCAAGGUACCCAGUUUAUGUAGGCCAACAAGUGGCCUGAGGCUUACUGUUGGGUGUGGCUGGUUCCUAGGGCGAGCUGCCUGCCCUGGCUGAACUGGAUUAAAUCUGUGCUCUAGUGGGUGUGGCAAACCCCUGGGCUAACAGGCCAGGGAAGAGCUUCAAUGGCAUCUGCCAGCGUCUGUGUCAGCAUGCCUGUACUAGGUCACUACAAUGGCUGCUACCAAUGUCUCCGUCUCCAGAGAGGUCUUACCUCUCACCAAGAUGUACCCAGAGCCUACCAGGGUAAUUUUUCCAAGAAUAGUUGUAACCUGGUUGUCUUUGUGGGAGGAGGUGAGUUCAGAGUCUACCUAUGCCGCCAUCUUGAUUGAGAUCUUGACAAAUUGCUUUUCAAAGAAGUCUCAUAAAUGUUAAUAUUUCAAAACUUGGGUAAUAGAUACAUGGAUGUUUAUUAUGUUACUGCCCAUAUUUUUGUAUAUGUUUGGAUGGUUUACACACUCACACAAGAAGAGGUUACAAUAUUUACACUCCCACGGCCAGCAAAUGAGCAUGUGCACGUUUUGCCAAGAGCAUGUUAACACAAUUUUUAAUCUUUGCCAAUGUGAAGGGUGAAAGAUGAUAUCUGUCUAUUGGUUUAAUUGCAUUUAGUAUUUAAUCAGGAGGAUGGCUGAUCAUUUUUUCAGUGAAUUGCUUUUUCCAUUUCUAUUGAGUCACACUUCUUUUAUGCCUACAGAAUACUUCAUUUUAUGUAUGUGCCCUAAUUUACUUAUCCAUGUUCUUGUGCAUUAUUUAUGCUGCUUCCAAAUGACUGUGAACAUCUUCAUACAUAAAGCUUUUUCUCUUCUUCUUUUAGGCUUUUAUCAUUAGUGGACUAUUUCAGAAGAUGAAUUGCUGGGUCAAUAGUGUGGACAUUUUUAUGCCUUGAUACAUAUUGUCAAAUUGGUCUCUCAAGAGACAGUGCAAUAUAGAGUACCCUCAAUUUCAUAAUACUCUUAUCAGCAUUGGAUAUUGUUAAUAAAAAUUAAUUUUUGCUAAUUUUAUAAGAAAAAAAUGGAACCUUAAUUUCAUUUGUAUUUUUUUAUUACCAAUGAGAACGAAUGUUUUAAUAUAUGUUUGUUAAUUAAUUGCAUUUUCUUUGUUCUCUUCUUUGCUCUCUUGAGUGACAGCACAUUCUUAUACAAAGGAAAUAAGAUGAUGUCUUAUCAGGGAAACCCCUAUUUCCUCAGGCCUGUGACCUUCUGGGAAGUUGUUGACUGAUAUCAGAUUAUCAAAGUCAGUCUCUUGAUUGAGAAUGUGGAGGUGGCAGUGGUUGAAAAGAUAGCAGUGUAGACGGGAGAACUGAAUAAAUAAGGCUCUAGGUAAUGAUGAGGGAACUCUAGGUUGAAGAGAUGAGAGAGGUGGGAAGAGAUUUGUGAGUCAGGAUAAAAAUUCGUGGACAGUGUAGAGAAUGUGCUGGACUCAUAUCUCUCUAUCUCUGAGCUUCCUAAUGGAACUCUGGCUGGCUAGUGUGGCCACGGCUGUGUUUCAGAAUUCCAACCUCAGUGUUGUCAUUUCUGCUAGGUGAGGCCUUCUUCUAAGGCCAGUGCUGCAGAGGAGAAAAAAGGAUGGGGCGAGGGAGGAUUAUUGUUAUUGUUAUCAGUUAUUAAACACUCUCCUCCUCCUUUAUCCAGAUAGCCAUUUAGUUUAAUCACUAUUGAACAGUUUUUGCUAAUUAAUUUGAUAUUUAGAGUUAUUGUUAUUUUAAUUUGUAUUUCUUUUAUUACUGCUUUUCAUACAGAGAGAUGUUUCUUUUAUCAUUUUUCGUAUUUAGGUAUGUAUAUAUACAUGUAUGUGUAUAUAUGUACAUGUAUGUAUAUAUACAUGUAUAGUAUAUAUCCAUACCAUUUUAUUACUACUUUUCAUCUGUGUGUGUGUGUAUGUGUGUGUCUAUUCCCUAAUUGGGGGGAAGUGACUGUUCAUGUUUAUGUUAUUGAUUUCCAAAUAAUCUUUAUAUAUUGAAGUUACGAGGCUGUGUCAUAUUUUUCACAAACAUUAUUUCUAAUUUGUCACUUAUUUUAUUUUUUUCAUUUUUUCUUAUUGAGAUGCACAGAGCAUUAAGUGUUAAGUGUGAUGAGUUCUGACAAAUGCGUAUACCUGUGUAACCCACACUUCUAUCAAAAUAUAUAUUUCUAUUACCCCAGAAAGCUUCUGUGUCUUUUCCUGGUCAAUCCUCAUCCUGCCUCUGCUCUGCCAGAAGCAACCACUGCUCUGAUUUAUAUCACCAUAGAUCAGCCUUGCUUGUUCUAGCAUUUAAUGCAAAUGGAAUAAUGAAAUAGGUACUUUUGUGCAUCUGAUUUCUUUCAUUCAACAUAAUGUGUUAGAGAUUCAGCCAUGUUGUUACUGCGGAUAUACACUGUUCCUUUUUAUUGCUUAGGGGUAUUCCAUUACAUGAACAUAGCAGUUUGUGUAUUCAUUCUCCUGUCCAUUGACAUUUGGGUUGUUUCUAGUAUACUGCUUGAAUGAACAUUCUUGUAGCAGUCUUUUUGUAAACAUGUGUUUUCUUUUUCUUGGAUAAAUAUCUAAGAAUGGAAUUGCUGGAUCAUCUACUACGUAGGUGUUUAACUUUUUUAGAAAUUGCCAAACUAUUUUCCAAAGUGAUUACACCAUUUUACAUUCCCACCAGCAGUGUACGAGGUGCCAGUUUCUCCAUAACCUUGCCAACAUUCAGUGUGGUAGGUUUUUAAAAUUUUAAUCAUUCUAGUGGGUUGCUGUGGUAUCUUAUUGUAAUAAUGAUUUUCAUUUCCCUGACGAUUUAGGAUAUUGAAUACCUUUUCAUGUGCUUAUUGGCCACUCAUAUAACAGUAUAUUUGACUUAGAGGCUUUAAAUUUUAUGUAGUCAAGUUCACGAGUCUUUUCCAUUAUGAAUUUUAUUGCUUUUUUACUGUGAAAUCCUUCUUAAUAUCAAAAGCUAGUAAACAUUUUUACUUAUAUUUUCUUCUAUUACUUUAUUGGUUAAACUCUUAGACAUUACACUCUUUAAUCUACCUAUAAUUUAUUUUAAGUUAUAAGGAAACAUUUGUCCUCACAUAAUUAACCAACUGAACUAUAUAUGGAAUAAUCACUUCUUUCUUUCCCCACUUAUUUGAUUCACCACACUUAUCUUAAACUAACCUUUAACAUAUAAUUGGAUCUAUUUCUAUGCCACUGUGUAACUCUUAAUUUUUCCACCAAUAGUACACUGCUUCAAUUAUUAGAGUUAUAGAGUUUAUUUAUCAAGUAAGCAAGUUUACCUUCACUACUCUUUGUUUCUUCAAAAAUUCCUUAGCAGGUCUGGUUCAUUUAUUUGUCUGACUGUGGUAGGCUGAGUAACGGCUGCCCACAGAUAUCCAUGUCUUAAUCCCUGGAACUGUCUGUGACCUGACGUAGCAAAAGGGUUUUUGCAGAUGUGAGUAAGUUAAGGAUCCUGGAUUAUCCAGACGGGCUGAAUGGAAUCACAAGGGUCCUUUUGAGAGGGAGGCAAGAGGAGCAGAGAGAGGAGACGAUGGAAGCAGAGACUGGAGUCAUGGGGCCACAAGCCAUGGGAUGCUGGCAGCCUCUAGAAACUGGCAGAGGCGAGGAACAAAUGAGCUCCUAGAGCCUUCAGAAGGAAUAAGCCCUUCCCACCCCUUGAUUUUAUCUCCUGAAGACUCACCUCGGACUUCUGACCCUCCAGGAUUGUAGGAGAAUAAAUUUGUGUUGUUUUAAACCACUCAGUUUGUGGUAAUUAGUUACAGGAGUCAUAGGAAACUGAUACACUUAAAAAUAGGAAACUGAUAACUGGAAAAUUCUUUUUAAAAGUUAAGAUCUAGGGGACUGGCCCUGUGGCCGAGUGGUUAGGUUCAUGCACUGCACUUCGGUGGCCUAGGGAUUGCUGGUUUGGAUCCCAGGCGCGGAUCUACGCACUACCGAUCAAGCCAUGCUGUGGUGGCCUCUCACACAGAAGAACUAGAACAACUUACAACUAGGAUAUGCAAGCAUGCUCUGGGGUUUUGGGGAGGAAAAAAGAUUAAGAUCUAAAUGUUGUUCUACCGUGCUUUUGAUGGGAUUGUAUAAAGCAGAGAAUUUGAUUUGGGCAGAACUGACAUUUUUAUACUAUUCAGUCUUGCUAUUUAGACUUCUCCAGAAAAGUGCCCCCAUCUCACCUCUCUGACCAUUUCUGUCCAUAGCCUCCCGUCUUAGUUUGGGUUCCCCAGAGGCAGAGCUGAGACAAGGGUUCGAGUGCAGGUGGUUUAUCCGGAAGGUGAUCCGGGAGACACAUGGGCGAGAGUGAGAAAGUGAGGCUGGGAAGGGACGGCAGCUAAUAAAGGAUGCGCCUCAGCGUUCCCUGAGUCUUAGCAUUGGGAAUGGAGGGGCCUGGGGCGGAGAAGGACCAGCAGCUCUGGUGAUAUCAGCAUGGCGGUCCUGUCUCACAGCCACUCCCCAUUCUCCCUGGAGCCCAGUGUCCCCACGUUCCCUGUCCCCUCCCAGCAAGGCAAGGUUGCAGAAGGGGAUAAAGCUGGCCUUCCUCUGCACAGGGUGUGGUAGUCAGAACAGCUGCCCAGAGGAGGUGAGCUGCCUGCCAAGCGUCUAAGUGGCUGCAGCUGAUGAUGCCCUGGCCCCUCCCGUUGCCGUGACACCUCGUCCCCAAGUGUCAGCGUCUGCAUCUCUUUGCCCAAGGGUUGAUCCUGCCGCCAGAGCCCAGGGCAGGCCAGAAGUAUCCUCCCCAGCAGCCUCCAUCUCGUGAGGGACGGUGUGCGCAUACCCUGCAACCUUGCCGGGCCUGAGGUGGGGGUGCAGGACUCUGACCCCCAGAGGUCCCACGUGGGUUGAAGCUUGACCACACACCUUUCCCUGCCUCACAUCCCACUCUCCAACAGUUGUUUCCUGGGGCUGCCUCCCAAAUAUAUAUUUACACUGGAAUCCUUGUGUGACAUUGUGAUUUAUAAGAAAUAAACAUUUGGUCUUCAUCCUAUUUCUGGCACAGAGCUCCUAAAAUCCUUGGAAUUUCUGAAGUAAUGAGAGCAACAAAGGUGUCUUUUGUUAUGUUAAUGAGUGACUUUUGGACCCCACCUAAGGAUGGGGGCUGGUUGCCAGUGGAACCGACCAGUGAUUAGAAGGUUGGAACUUUCACUCCCACCCCCUGACCUCCGGUGGGAGAGGGCUGGAGGGUGAAUCCAUCGCCCAUGGCAAAUGGCUUAAUCAAUCAUGUCUAUGUAAUGAAACCUCCAGAAAAACCCGAAAGGACAGGGUUCAGAGAGCUUCCAGGUUGUGAACACGCGGAGAUUUGGGGAGAGUGGGCACUCAGAGAGUGUGGGUGCUCCGCGCCCCUUCCCACAUACCUUGUCCUGUGUGUGUUUUCCAUCUGGCUGUUCCUGAGUUAUGUCCUUUUAUAACAAACUGGCGAUCUAGUGAGUAAAACGUUUCCUGAGUUCUGUGAGCUGCUCUAGCAAGUUAAUCGAAUCCAAAGAGGGAGGGGGUCAUGGGUGAUGUGGAUCAAGGCUGCUCCAGGGAGAGAAGCCCAAGGCGUUCUGGCCUCCAUACCCGUCUAUAUCCUCUGGGAAGAGCAGGACGUCCUGACCUGAUUUCCAUCCAAAGUUAAAGACUGCUGGAUAACCAGACCCCUGGAUAACCAGACCCCACCUGCACUGAUACCAUUUUAAUGACUUUCUUUCUUUCUUUUUUCUUGAGGAAGAUUAGCCCUGAGCUAACAUCUGCUGCCAAUCCUCCUCUUUUUGCUGAGGAAGACUGGUGCUGAGCUAAUAUCUGUGCCCAUCUUCCUCUACUUUAUAUGUGGGAUGCCUGCCUCAGCACAGCUUGCCAAGCAGUGCCAUGUCCACACCCGGGAUCCAAACCAGUGAACUCCGGGUCUCAGAGAAGCAGAAUGUGCAAACUUAACCACUGCACCACCAGGCCAGCCCCCUCUUUUUUUUUUUCAUGUGGGCCACCACCACAGCAUGGCCACUGACAGAUGGGUGGUGCCCGAGAACCGAACCCAGGCCACUGAAGCAGAGUGCACUGAACCCCAACCACUAGACCAUUGGGGCCAGCCCCACAUCUUAUAUUUUUAUGGCUCCCCUGACCAUUUUUUCUGCUUGGCUGACUCGUCACCUCAGCUACUCUUUGGGGUCUGGCUCUGAGGCUGGGGUCCUAAUGGUGGCUCUAGCCCCCGGCAAAGCCCUCUGGGCUCCUGAGAGGAGAGGGAGGCUCUUUACCUGUCUGGAAAGUGGCUUGGUCAGUGUCCCUGAGGCAGAAGGAUCUGCGGACCGCCCAGACUUCCUUUGGCAGGAGGGCUGAGAACAAAGUCUUCUGGUAGAAAGAGCUCUCCAUCUGGGAGAAUGUAAUGCGUUCCUGGGAGGGGAGAAACUUCAGUGGAGACGGGGCUGGUGCUCCAAGGAAGACAUUCUGCUGGGCCCUCCCUGGUAACCAUGGAGAUGGAGGAGGGUGGGAGCCUGGCAGGAUCCAUACCCCAUAAAAAUACUGGCAGCUGGAGUGCAAGAUGCAGAGCCUGCAGAUGCCCUCUUACACCGUGUUAUUUAUGGGCAGUCGGAACCCCUGCAGGGCUGUGGGGCAGGGGAGCUGGAUCGAGAGCCUCCAGGACCUGGGUGUUUAAUGAGGUGUUUAAUGGGUGUAAAGAUUUAGAUCAGAAUGAUUUGCCCAUUUAGGAGGUGGAGUUUAUCUAAGCACUGCCCCAAAGGAUGCUCACUUCUUCUCUGAAAUGCUCGGAAGUCUGGAUGCGGAAACCAACAAGUCAGCAUUUGAGGAGUACUAUGUGAGGAUCCAGCCAAGGGGUCCAGUGGCUGAAAUCUCUUCACCUUGACACUGCAAGCUGCUUACCGCCAAGGAACUGGGAGAAGCUAAGAAUCUCAAGCUGGAAAGGUCCUUACAGAGGAAGAAGCUGAAGCACAGAGGGGUCAAGUGACUUGUUCAAAGUCACACAGUGCACCAGGGACCAUUAGCACCAAUGACAAGAUCAACUGGAAGAGAAAAGAACCGUUAGUCUAUGCAGGGAAAGAGCUGCGUGAUUCCUUCUUAGAAGGCGAAGAGCACUCUAUGGGGCGCAGAAGACACAAAUAGUAGUAUCUUUUGGGGUUUUAAAGCUUGAAUGUUGAAAUUACUUUCCUAAAUGCAUAAUAUGUAUUAUAACAUUUUCAGACUCUGUAAUGGUUGGUUCAGCGAUUAAGAGGGAGCCUAUUAAGAUGCAGUGACUGACUCGUGAAAUGGAUUAAAAAUGGCAUCUGUGUGCCAUUUUCAGCAUCUGGAAACAAGGGCCUGAAACAAGAUGCUGAGCGGAUGCUCCCUGAAUCCAAGGAUGCGCGAGGCCGGCCCUCUCAGAGGACACGGCGCUGGGCAGGGAAUCUUAAUUGCUUUUUCCUUUUUGAUUCUAAAGAUAAUACAUAUUUAUUGCAGAAAAUUUGAAAAAUACAGAAAAUAUGUAGAAGAAAAAAAAAUCACCCAUUAACCAACCCCUUCUAACUGCCCUGGAAAUAACCAUUCUUAACAUUAGGAUAUAUUUCCAACAAGCCCUUUUUUCCGCAUAUAUAUGCCUUUUUUCAGUUUGUCGUCAGCCUUAGAGGUUUGUAUUUUGCUUUGAUUCUAAGAUGAUAUUUAACAGUCUCCAAAGAGAUGAAUUCAGGUGGCUGCACUAUAUUCCAUUAAAAGGUCUGGCAUAAUUUAUUAACCUGUUUCUAGGUCAUUUCCAAUUUUUCAAUAUUACAAAUAACAUGACGAUAAACAUCCAGGUGCGUAAAUCUUGGCGCCACAUCUGACGGCACUGGGUUCCGCGCCAGCAGUGGGAGACAGGGGAGGCCUCACCCCUCCUGCUCUCCGGGCACCUGGUGCCGAGGCUGUGGCUCGAGUAGCACCCGGCACAGCCCUACUCUUGGCCCCGCAGCCUCAGCUCCUGGAAGAGGACCUAACGGGGUGGAGGAGAAAGCCCCCAGUCUGUGCGGACUCACUGACUGCACUGCGAAGCUCUGUGCCUUGGGGCCAGUCCCUCUGCCUCUCUAUGCCUCAGUUUCCCCUUCUGUAAAAGGAAGGGCAUGAACUAGGUCACGGGAUUUCAAUUUUAUUUGUUAAAAAUCCUUUUUGUUCAAAGGGAAACCUACACAGAAGCCCGUUGUGUAAAACAGAAAGCAGAGGAGCUCCUUUGACUGGUCAGAGCCCUGCUUGAUUGUCCUUUCAUCCAACAAAGAUUACUGAGGUCCUACUAUGUGACUGACUGUGCUAGGUGCUGGGGAUAGAGCAUGAGCAAAAAUAUUUUGCACUUCCCGACGCUCAGACUCCUUAGGCC
ensembl:lncRNA